rnacentral:rRNA from 1 species
GUCCACGCCCUAAACGAUGCUAACUCGAUGUAUGGUUGUAAGAUUGUGCGUCUAAGGGAAACCGUUAAGUUAGCCACCUGGGGAGUACGUUCGCAAGAAUGAAACUCAAAGGAAUUGACGGGGUCCGCACAAGCGGUGGAGCAUGUGGUUUAAUUCGAUGAUACGCGAGGAACCUUACCUGUGCUAUAAUGCGACCGCAAUACUGGGAAACUGGUAGUUCCUUCGGGACGGUCAGCAAGGUGCUGCAUGGUUGUCGU